CAGCCGCCACGGUAAUACAGAGGAUGCAAGCGUUAUCCGGAAUGAUUGGGCGUAAAGCGUCUGUAGGUGGCUUUUCAAGUCCGCCGUCAAAUCCCAGGGCUCAACCCUGGAUAGGCGGUGGAAACUACCAAGCUGGAGUACGAUAGGGGCAGAGGGAAUUUCUGGUGGAGCGGUGAAAUGCGUUGAGAUCGGAAAGAACACCAACGGCGAAAGCACUCUGCUGGGCCGACACUGACACUGAGAGACGAAAGCUCGGGGAGCAAAUGGGAUUAGAUACCCCUGUAGUCCCUGUCUCUUAUAC
rnacentral:rRNA from 1 species